AAACUUUUCUUUCCAAAGUUACAACCGACCAAACCUUUGUGGUGGUAAAUUUUGGGUAGCUCACCCUGGUCUGGAUGUCUGUGAGGCCCAGGAAUUACGAACACAACCCGGAAAAGCGUGUGGAUUUUGAAAAGCUUCACCACUUGGCUUUUGAUCAGUCAGGCAGCAGCAGCUGGCCUAGAGGACAAAGUGCCCUCCAGCCACAAUCCCAUCCCGUGGCUGAUCCAGAGCCUUGGGAAUCGGGCACAUGGUGACCUCCAGAGACGACAGCCAGCAGCAAACCCCGAGGAUCUGCAGUGACAAAGCACAACAAAAGGCUGGCACGUUGGAUUGCAACAUUGCUGAAAGGAAAAGCGUGAACGCUGCAGGAAUUUCUGCUCCAUGGAAAAAUGUUAUUUUUGGAUUCUUCGGGAAGGCGUGCACAUAAAACCACCGGUUCCCUGGUGAGUGACUGGUCCCUGAGACCAGCACAACUUUCAUCUUAAUUUUUGGUUGUGGUAGGUGAUGUCAUAUUUGGCCAUACAUUUCCUUAAGCUGCAACUGGCAUCUCACUGAGAAAGACCUUCAUGUUUUCCUGUGAAACACUGAGGUAACUGAUUUCUUACAGGAAG